AGGAAAGCAGUACGAUAAAAUCUACCAAUUGUGUGUGAUAUAAAAGUGGUCAAACUAAGUGUUUGCACAUUAAUCACAAACUCUUUAGUUUCGAUUGUUGCUUCAUUUACCAGUAAAAACGGUUUUACAUCAAAAUCGCUUAGCAUGCGUGCCACAUUCAGCAUUAUCUUCGGAAUUUUGUUCAUAAUUUCAUUCAUCACGAUCGCAACUUCUGAAUCUAAAGGCAAAUGUUAUGAUUACAAUGGUACAUGUAGAAACAAGUGUUUUGACCCUUUAACAUGGAUAGAUACUAAAGACUGUCAGACAAAGAAACACAAAUGUUGUCUUGCAUCGGAGAAAAGGUGUGCGAAAGAUUAUAACGGUGUAUGUGCGGACAGAUGUGGCCACAUGAAAGUCGUUGAAACGAGAGACUGUUGGUUAGCCAAAAGAUUAUGCUGUUAUGAUUGAUUGAAUCGGAAUUAAUGCUAGAAUUAUUUAUUGAAUUGACACUUCCAAUUAUUGACAUAUAUUGUAUUUAAAUUUAAAGCAUCAACAAAGAAAAUAUACUUGAGUACACGUUUACAGCGA